rnacentral:tRNA from 1 species
GGAGGCGUGCCAGAGUGGUUGAAUGGGCUUCCCUGGAAAGGAAGUAUACCUUUACGGGUAUCAGAGGUUCGAAUCCUCUCGCCUCCG